AGUACCUGAAAGUCUUUGAAGAAGAGUUAAACACAGAUAGUGUUACAAAUCUAACUUCAGUCCUAUCUAAACUUUACUGAACUGGUGGCUGCCAAUAUGCAUCUGUCUCAUACUGAUGUAUUUGAAGGAUCGUAGUGAAGUGAGUGAGGGAAGUGAAUAAAUUAAUUUCUGACCUCUUUUUGGCUGGAUCCUCCUACUUCGAGCAUCCUGAAGGAGGCUGUAAAAUUUUGGGAAGCGGGAUUCCCCUUCAGAAUGACCAUACCCCUAGCAGACUAUUUUCUUAUCACAGAAAAUGGCAGAGAUUGUGAUUGGCUUAUAUUUAUAUAUGACAAAUAUGUGAAAUUACAAAGGUGUUAAGGCCUGGGGAGAUUUAAGCAAGAAGUAAUGCUGUUUCUUCCAUCUCAGAAUUGGAGCUUUCCUUCCCCCUGAUUUGAGAAGUCGUGGAGAGUUACUGCUUAGUCUGUGUUUAAGAGCCACCACUGACUACAGCAUUUUUUCCCUGAAGCAGUGACAUAGCAUCUGCCCCUUUGACAUGUGGAAAUCAGAAAUGGACAGAGAAGGCCCAGCAUUUCUCUCCACUUCAGCUUUAUUUACAGGCAGUCCACUCCCACACCUACUGGCCAGGCCAGAAGCUGUGCAUGGUUAAGCCUUGAUAAACUGCUGACACAGCAGGCUUAAGAAGUGUGAGGUCAAAUGUUUUCCCAAAUGAGAGAGACAGAUACAUUUCUGUAGCUCAGUAGCAUAUGGUGUCUUUUCCUGUUCAUGCUUUAAAGUUUUUGGAGAAGAUGGGUUCUACUGAUGGUUGAAACAAAAUUCCAUUAUGAGGUGUGCUUAUUUUGAAGACUGGCUACUAAUUGGAGUUUGGAGCAUUUUAAUACUGAAAUAUUUUAGUUUUAUUGUGUGUUAGACUAUAGCCCCAGUUGCUUACAUAUCUCAUUACAUGAGAUUAAUAGAUAUCAGUGACAAUAUUUUGGCUGGUGCUAGGGGGGAAGGAUGUCAUUGCUAGGACUGAGGAUGAACUGGAUCCUACAGGACCAGUCAUAACAGAAGCAACAGUAGGGGAUAAAAGAGUUGUUGAAAGAAUAUGUGGGUAGCUGUUACCACUGGGUAGCAAAUGCAUACUAAGGAUAAGGAUUUCAUCAGUUUAUGUUUUCCUUACAGUUUUGAAGCAUUCAGUCUUUAUUUGAGACACUGUGUUCCAGGGACUGUCCUUUCUAUCUUAGUGAAUCAAUGAAACUACCAUGCUCCUGUCUCUGUGUCAAGUGGUCAGGGACAAUUAACUCUCACCUUAGUAAUGCUUAGCACACUUCCCUUUUGAAGGCCAUUGAAAACAUAAAUUAGUUAAUUCUCAGAACAUUACUACAAGUUAGACAUGAUGCUACAUGUUAGAUAUGAACACUACAAGUUAGACAAAUGCUCUCUCCUUUUUUUGAGAACUGGGGGAAUUAUAUGCACAAGUUUAAUGAUUUGCACGUGUGGGGAAGGCAUGAGUUCUGGAGAAGUGUAUGGUAAAUUAUUUCCAGUCUCAAAAAGAGAACAUUUUGAAAAACAAAUUCGGGAAGUGUGUGCAGAAGAACAUGGAGUGCACUGUCUGCUAGAACUUGGUAUAGAAUACUUACUCUUUACAAACUGAGGCAUUUUAAAAUUUACACAAUUUAUUGACUCUCUUAGUCUGUCAGAUGAAGUAACCCUGUUUCUCUUUUUACUUGAUGUUGCUACUUCUCUCUGUUCUGUUAGUAUUUAAUUAUGUUUCUCCCACACAUGGCAUCUCUGCUGACUGGGCUGUACAAUCUCUCAUUUAAGUUACAUCUGGAGCACUGACUGCCAUCAUGGGAACAAGAUUUUACCACUCCAGAAAAUUCAUGCCUGCAGGGCUAAUUGCUGGUGUCAGUUUGCUCAUGGUUGGAAGAUUAGCACUGAAGAUGUUGGAAAAGCCCCAGGAAAAGUAACUGUUAAUUUUAUAUCUUAAUAUUUGGAAAAGGAAACCUGAUAAUGAAGUUGCAUGAAUGCAGAAGUGAGAAGAUGGAAAAAUUCUCUGCAGCAAGACUUUUUUUAUCUUUUUUUGUAAGGGGGAAUAGAAUGAUGGGACAGACAGUUUAUAUACAAGAUAGAGCUGUUUGUGUAUAGAGAGAAAUGGGUCCUGGGUUUGAUUUUUCUGGGCAUGUUUCAAUGUAUUCCAACACUUCCAUGUUUUUGUAUUCCA